rnacentral:lncRNA from 1 species
CUGAAAUCAGGCAAUUGCCUCCUCAGCUACACCAAAUUACUCUUUCUACUUGGACUCCACUUUUGUGUGCUCAAGUUCAGAAAACUUGCAACUUGCUGCUGAAUUAAUAUCCAACCUCGACAGGUAACAUUAUUAGUAAAAAGGGUGACUCUCUUGAUUCCUGAAAUUUGAUAACAAUGGUAAAUGGAUCUAAUCAUUCC